UUGCAAAAACAGAUAUAAAUUGGCCUGUUGAAAUGGAAUAUUUCAUUGGUUUUCAAUUGCAGUUUCUCACAUGUGCGGGUUUUUAAUGCAGUUGAUCUUCUGUUAGCUUGUACCUUGUGAUGUCGCUUACAUCUGUGCAAAGCAGAUGCAGAAAACACCACAACAAGCAGUCAUAAAUGACAAAUUCUGACUGGGUAGCACUUUACAAGCCUAUCUAGUCCUCACAGAUUUAAAUUACUACACCAGGUGUGAAGAGGCAUCAUUCUCUUGUAAGCAGAACCAUGACUCAAAGCUAAGGAUAUUCAGUAGGCUGUUUUUUAACCCGUUGUCUGUUUCAUUCAUUCAAGAUCCCAUUCUGAAAGUCCCCUUUGAUGAUGGUUUCAAGGUAUCUAGCAAAUGCAUAAAAUGGAGGCUCUGAAUGGGAACCACCUUAGAUAAAAUGUUUGUGACUUCUCCCACAUGCACAUGCAGAGUAGUUUUCUCAAGACCAGGUAGCUAGUUUCUGCCAGUGUACUGUUUACAGUAUCGAUUGCUGAUUAUUUCUACAUUUUUAAUGUUUGUUUUUGUUUUUAAUUUAACGUUUUUCCUAAUGCUUCAAGAACAAGAAAGUGAUGCAUCAGAAGACAAGGGGUGCAUCCUCCCACUCUUUUAGUGUCAACUGACAAAGCAAGAAACGGUUUAAGGAACCUGAUGUUUAACUUGAGGCUCAGAAUUUAAGCUAGAACACUUUAAAAAGCUUUCACGUUACUUAAGAAUGGUUCAUCUUGCACUGAGAUUCCCUCUAUAAAGGAAUACGUGAAGAAAACCAACUUUUCUAAAUAAGACAUGAAAGUUAACAUCUUGUGUAUUUUCAUUACAGUAUAAUAUAUAUAUAUAUAUCUAUUUCAAUUAAAAAAAAAAAAAAAGGACAGAUUCAUCUGUAAUUAUGUAAUUCAUGAUAUUAAAAGCACUGCAGACUACAGCAGAGAUGUGUCAGAUGAGAAACAAGGAUUGCUGGAGAUGAAAGAGCAUGAUGGAAAGCUGAGUCCUGCCUGCAGUGUUCCUCCUUGCCUUCAUCUUUUAAAACAGCCUGGAUUUGACUUCCCUGGCCUGUGGUAGAUCUGUGACUUCAGGGGAAGCAUUAAGUGAUUUAAGAGCUGAAGCUUAUCUUUUUCUGUGUAAUAUUUACUUCUUAAUUCAGGGGUAUCUGCUCAAAGUCUUUUAUCUUUUGCUUGUUCA
rnacentral:lncRNA from 1 species